rnacentral:rRNA from 1 species
AACGAACGCUGGCGGCAGGCUUAACACAUGCAAGUCGAGCGCUGUAGCAAUACAGAGCGGCGCACGGGUGAGUAACACGUGGGAACGUGCCCUAUGGUUCGGAAUAACUCAGGGAAACUUGAGCUAAUACCGGAUAAGCCCUUACGGGGAAAGAUUUAUCGCCAUUGGAGCGGCCCGCGUCCGAUUAGCUUGUUGGUGAGGUAAAAGCUCACCAAGGCGACGAUCGGUAGCUGGCUGAGAGGACGACCAGCCACACUGGGACUGAGACACGGCCCAGACUCCUACGGGAGGCAGCAGUGGGGAAUCUUGGACAAUGGGGGAAA